rnacentral:rRNA from 1 species
UGCGUAGGUAGUUUUGCAUGUCAGAUGUGAAAGCUCAUCGCUCAACGAUGAAAGUGCAUUUGAAACUGCAGGACUGGAGUACGGGGGAGGAGAGUGGAAUUCUUGGUGUAGCGGUGAAAUGCGUAGAUAUCAAGAAGAACACCGGUGGCGAAGGCGACUCUCUAUCCCGAUACUGACGCUGAGGCACUAAAGCUGGGGGGAGCAAACAG